rnacentral:rRNA from 1 species
GAUGAACGCUGGCGGCGUGCUUAACACAUGCAAGUCGAACGCCCUCGACCUUCGGGUCACAUGAGGGAGUGGCGAACGGGUGAGUAACACGUGAGAAACCUGCCCUGAAGUUUGGGACAACCACUGGAAACGGUGGCUAAUACCGAAUGUCUUCCUUCCACCGCAUGGUGGGUUGAAGAAAGCUCCGGCGCUUCAGGAGGGUCUCGCGGCCUAUCAGCUAGUUGGUGAGGUAACGGCUCACCAAGGCAUCGACGGGUAGCUGGUCUGAGAGGACGAUCAGCCACACUGGGACUGAGACACGGCCCAGACUCCUACGGGAGGCAGCAGUGGGGAAUCUUGCGCAAUGGGCGAAAGCCUGACGCAGCGAUGCCGCGUGGGGGAUGAAGGCUCUCGGGUCGUAAACCCCUUUCAGCAGGGACGAAAAUGACGGUACCUGCAGAAGAAGCCCCGGCCAACUACG